UAAUACGAAGGUCCCAAGCGUUAUCCGGAUUUAUUGGGUUUAAAGGGUGCGUAGGCGGGUUAUUAAGUCAGUGGUGAAAGCUCCAUGCCUAACAUGGAAAUUGCCAUUGAUACUGAUGAUCUUGAGUACAUUUGAAGUGGGCGGAAUGUGUCAUGUAGCGGUGAAAUGCUUAGAUAUGACACAGAACACCGAUUGCGUAGGCAGCUCACUAAACUGUAACUGACGCUGAGGCACGAAAGCGUGGGGAGCAAACAGGAUUAGAUACCCUGGUAGUCCACGCCCUAAACGAUGAUCACUCGAUGUGUGCGAUACACAGUACGCGUCCAAGCGAAAGCGAUAAGUGAUCCACCUGGGGAGUACGGCCGCAAGGCUG
rnacentral:rRNA from 1 species